CUCCUUUUUAGAGAAAAACGACUCUCUUAUAAUAUUCGUUGGUUUAAUUGGGCUGCUGCAUCAUUCUUUUUUUUUCCGUCCUUAUCUAGUCCUGUAGCUCAGUUGGUUAGAGCACUACACUGAUAAUGUAGGGGUCAGCAGUUCAAAUCUGCUCAGGACUACGGUGAAGAUGGGGGAUUAGCUCAGCUGGCUAGAGCGCCUGCCUUGCACGCAGGAGGUCAUCGGUUCGACUCCGAUAUUCUCCACUAAAAAGAAGUUCUUUGACGUACUGGUAGAAGAUAGAGUAAAUCAUAAGCAACAAAGGGCAGUUGGCGGAUGCCUAGGCUCUCAAUAGCGAUGAAGGACGUGAUAAGCUGCGAUAAGCCAUACUGAGAUGCAAAUAAUC
rnacentral:tRNA from 1 species